ensembl:rRNA 5S_rRNA 5S ribosomal RNA
AUCUACGGCCAUGCUACCCUGAACAAGCCCGAUCCCAUCUCAUCUCAGACGCUAAGCAGGAUUGGGCCUGGUUAGUACUUGGGUGGGAGACCACCUAGAAAGUCCAGGUGCUAUAGGCA